rnacentral:rRNA from 1 species
GAUGAACGCUAGCGGCAGGCCUAAUACAUGCAAGUCGAACGGGAUUAAGGAGCUUGCUUCUUAUGAGAGUGGCGCACGGGUGCGUAACACGUAUGCAACCUACCUUCAACUGGGGGAUAGCCUUCCGAAAGGGAGAUUAAUACCGCAUAACAUAAUUGAGUGGCAUCACUUGAUUAUCAAACGUCAGGGUUGAAGAUGGGCAUGCGUCCGAUUAGUUAGUUGGUGAGGUAACGGCUCACCAAGGCUACGAUCGGUAGGGGAUCUGAGAGGAUGGCCCCCCACACUGGUACUGAGACACGGACCAGACUCCUACGGGAGGCAGCAGUAAGGAAUAUUGGUCAAUGGACGGAAGUCUGAACCAGCCAUGCCGCGUGCAGGAAGACGGUCCUCUGGAUUGUAAACUGCUUUUGUACCGGAAUAAACCUUUUCACGUGUGAGAAGCUGAAUGUACGGUAAGAAUAAGGAUCGGCUAACUCCGUGCCAGCCGCCGCCGAAAAAC